ensembl:lncRNA
UUUUUGUGUAGCCUCACAACAUUUUAUCCACAGUCAAAAAAAUAAAACCAUGAAAAGCUGCUUCGCCCUUUCGCUGCAGACAAAAAGAGGCAAGUGAAAGCUAUUUUUGUGUUGUCUUCUUUAAAAUUCACGUGAUUACGUGUGGUAUGGAGCAAUAGAGUUUGUAAUCCCCAUUGUAGGAGCCCACUCCAUGUUGUCUUUGUGUUAGCUGAUCCACCUACAGACACCGCUCCAUCCUGAGUUUGCCCAUGCCUCCCUCCCUUUUGUUGUCUCACCCUCUUUCGCCCUCUCCCUCCCACUCGCCUGUUUUAUUGUGUUUUUUUUUUUUUUUUGUGGGGUUCAGUGGUGCUUUCCACAGGUUGGAUAUCAGAGGGGAUGAAGGUAAGGGGGAGGGAUCUUAUGCUCUACUUACCCAGAAGUCUGACUUUGCAGGCCUGAUUUCUUAUUUAUACCCUUGUUAGAUCUGGACUGACCCAUCUGGGCUGCACUGCUACUAAAGGAAGUGGCUGAGGGAGGGUGAAGCUGUGCAGCAGCUGAAGCCUGAAGUGGCCUCAUCAAGGCUUGGACCCCAGCGCCAUAUAUUGUCAGCUAAGAGACACUUCAGCUGGCAACAGCAGCGGUGUCUGAAGAUAAAUUCUGCAGGUUGUUUUCUACAGGAAAGCUGUUCUUUCAGAGGACGAAGACUACAAAAACCCGUUGCUUUGAGGCUUAAUGUGGAUUUGGGAUUCUUUGGAGGAAAAAGGAGGCUGGAGUACCCUCUUUAGGUUGAUCACGGUUCAUAUUUUGUCCAUCCUUCUGGAAGCAUAAGGAGUAGAAACUGGCUUUCGAUGACCAGGAGGUAAAAAGCUACGCUGUUUUAUUCUGUGUAAUUGAGAGUCACUAUAUUCAACCUCCUGUGAAAGGAUACACUCAUAGCAUCAUCAGUAGCCUCGGAUCCAGGUAUCAGGUUAUAUCAGUCUGAUCCAUCUAGGUAAGGCUACACCAAAACCAAGAGUGACACUGAAGUAAACAGCAGCUCAGGAGUCCUGAGUUCAAGG